GGUGUGAAGCUUACGAAGGGCCACAGCAUAUCCCUCCUCAUCCAAUAUUGAAACUACCAUGAACACUGAUUUGUUUUAGAAGCUGCAGAUCAGAAAACAUGAAUAUUUUGGAGACAGUGCAGAGGCCUGUGGUGAGGAAGAACAUCAUGGAAGAGAACAUGUACAGUGCAGAGCCAAUUACUUCAUCACUGAUAAGUGAUAAAGGAGAGGAAAAUGAUGGAAUUCUCAUUAAGCUUUCAUUAUCACCAGCAAGGACAUGUCCCCAGUGACCUGAAGGCCUCUUACUAAGACUAACUUCUUAAUGCCUCUACUGCCUGAUAACAAUACCAUGGACUAGGGACCAGAUUUUUAACA